CCUACGGGAGGCAGCAGUAGGGAAUCUUCCACAAUGGACGAAAGUCUGAUGGAGCAACGCCGCGUGAGUGAUGAAGGUUUUCGGAUCGUAAAACUCUGUUGUAAGGGAAGAACAAGUACUCGUUAGGAAAUGAACAGUCAACGUCUGACGGUACCUUAUUAGAAAGCCACGGCUACUACGUGCCAGCAGCCGCGGUAAUACGUAGGUGGCAAGCGUUGUCCGGAUUUAUUGGGCGUAAAGCGCGCGCAGGCGGUUUCUUAAGUCUGAUGUGAAAGCCCCGGCUUAACCGUGGAGGGUCAUUGGAAACUGGGAGACUUGAGUGCAGAAGAAGGAAAGUGGAAUUCCAAGUGUAGCGGUGAAAUGCGUAGAGAUUUGGAGGAACACCAGUGGCGAAGGCGACUUUCUGGUCUGCAACUGACGCUGAGGCGCGAAAGCAUGGGGAGCAAACAGGAUUAGAUACCCUGGUAGUCCAUGCCGUAAACGAUGAGUGCUAAGUGUUAGGGGGUUUCCGCCCCUUAGUGCUGCAGCUAACGCAUUAAGCACUCCGCCUGGGGAGUACGACCGCAAGGUUGAAACUCAAAGGAAUUGACGGGGGCCCGCACAAGCGGUGGAGCAUGUGGUUUAAUUCGAAGCAACGCGAAGAACCUUAC
rnacentral:rRNA from 1 species